rnacentral:rRNA from 1 species
UCGAAACCUGCCCAGCAGAACGACCCGCGAACGUGUUUCUUAAGUCGGCUUAUGCUAGCAGUGGUCGUUCACAUGGCCUCGAUCGGGGGAUUAGGGAGCGCGGGCCUAGCCCACCCCUACAUCCCUCGUUCUUUGGUUGGCUUCUGCUAGCAUUGGCCCUUCACAUGCCCUCGAUCGGGAGAUUAGGGAGCGCGGGCCUAGCCCCCCCUACAUCCUCCGUUCUUGGCUUCUAACAAACCCCCGGCGCGGAAAGCGCCAAGGAAUUACGAGCAAAAUGAACGGUCGCUCCGAUUGCCCCGGAAACGGUGUGCAGAAGGGACGAUUCGUGAAUUGAGAAUCAAAACGACUCUCGGCAACGGAUAUCUCGGCUCUCGCAUCGAUGAAGAACGCAGCGAAAUGCGAUACUUGGUGUGAAUUGCAGGAUCCCGCGAACCAUCGAGUUUUUGAACGCAAGUUGCGCCCGAAGCCUUCUGGCCGAGGGCACGUCUGCCUGGGUGUCACUCAACCGUCGUCCCGAUUCCUUCCUCUUUGGAACGGCUGUAAAUCGGGCGGAAGAUGGCCUCCCGUUUGCUUUUCGCAUGCAUGCGGUUGGCCCAAAUGUCCGGUCCCUGGCAUCGUCGCCACGGCAAUCGGUGGUUGUACGACCCUCGCUAAAUGCUGUGAUCGAUCCGAUGCCGGUGUGACCUACGAGGCCCCAAAGCGUAUCGAAAGACGCGCUCGGAAUGCGACC